UUUUCUUUAGACCUAAAGUACAUGAAUGAGACACAAUCAGUUGAUCAUAACAAACACCUCAAGUUUUCGACUGUCAGCUGUAUUUCUUAUAUGGACAAGGUUUCUCCAUUGGUUUAUUUGGUAGUGCUUUACUUCCAUAUGAUGGUUCAGUUAACAUUAAAGUCCCAGCAAUCAGACCGCAUUUCACAAGGGAUGUUUGAAUAUUUUAAAUUAAUUUUUCUUUAAGUGAUCCCCUGGAUAAUCUCCUCACCUGUAUUGGUCUCUUGUACAAACAUGUUGAAUCAAUUUACUUAGAUAUGUGGAUAGCAGUGGCGCAAGGUCUGAAUUGCUGUGUCUCUUAGUGCAUGCUUUGGAUGUUCAACAUCCACCAAUUUCUCAGGGGGUCUGUACGAAUUGAUAAAUAGGUAGCUUGAUGAAAAUGUUGGCAUGUUAGAAAAUGGCAUUGUUUUCAAGUUGACAUGCAGUGAUAUAGAUCUUGAAACCAACAGAAGUAAAAUUUGAAUGUGAUAACAAAGUACUCAACAAUAUAAAGAACUGCCUAACAUUUGCUUCCGAGUAUAUUAAUUUGUUGAGGAUAACGAUGGUGACAAACCCACUGCCUGGUUUUGUUGGAACAACAAGACAUCUUCAUAUGCUACCACGACAUCUGGGCCUGAAGCUAUGUCAUGGACUGUUCAGAGCUCCACGGCAAAUGGAGUUUAUCCUAAUCCAACCUACCAGUAUGAUCAGCAUCCGCAGCCACCUGGAAGAAGCAUUCAAAAAGGUCAAAGUGUAUCAUCAGUUGCUGGUAACACAUCAAAUUUGGGAACAGCUAAUACACCACAAGAUUACAAUGCGUACACAUCAUGUGCAAACUCUUCUAAUCCAUAUGGCUAUGGCAGCAGUACGAGAUACUCAGGCUACUAUAACAGCUAUCAGCAGCAGCAACCUAAACACGCUUAUUCACAGCCUGUAGAAACAUUUUGAAAACAAUUCCUUCUGCUGGAAUAGUACCACACUUACGGUUGAGAAGUUCCAAGCUCACAUGACCUGCAAGAUAAACAACAACAAAUGUCAGCACAAUCCAUAUUCUAACCAUAACCUUCCAUGUUCCAUUUUGAUCCUUGAAUAAUCAAUGGUACAUGUUGCUUUAAAAUCCAACCUUGUUAUAAAAACCAUAAGACCUGUUUCACCUUACUCACUUCACUUCACCAAGCCUGCAUUAACAAUUCAGCAGUUAACAGUCAAUCAUGACAGCAUAACAGAUGGGCAAACCGCAUUUCAAUACCUGCAGUACAUACAACACGUUGCCAAGCCAGUUGCCUUGUUGUGCCUUGCUGCAAUGCCAGACCUGCACAAGCUCAAAGCCAGAAACAAGAACAAAUCAGCGCAUAAAUUAUGCAGGCUUAGUGCAAACACAUAUCCUAUCCAUCCACACCACGAGAUGUUCCUUUCAUGGGAAUGGCAACUGGAUCACCUGUUUAUAAUAGAAACUCAGGUCAGAACCCGCAUGAGCUUAGCAAUUUAUAUGGUAGAUCUGGUGGACAUGAUAAUGUGGUUAAGCCAUUGGCCUCAGAACCGGUAGAGUCCAGUCAUGCUCCUGAUACCGUUGGACCUUACAGUUUUCUUCUUAAGCAACACAACAAGUGGGAUGGAAAAAAUGAACCAACAAACUGGGAGGACUCAUUAACAACGAAUGCAUCAUUUGUCAAUGUGAGGGACCAACCGGCAAUGUCUGUCCAGGAGAAUGAUCAUAUUAGGAACAUGGAAAUGGAUUUAAGAAAGAAAAAGUGUUCGUGGCAAAGAAGUUUCUUCUCAAACAUCGGGAAAUCAAGGAUCUACUUUUACCAAAAAUGCCAAAUCACCUGAAAGCACAGGAAGCUUUAAUAACUUUGAUCAUAUUGCAGCAAGGAAAAUGGAUGGUGUAGCUUCUAAUACACUGGAAUCUUCCUCAAGGUUACCUGCUACAGAAAUUCACUGCAGUAAAAAACACAAGUUAAUUAGCCAAGGCAGUUAAUUCAAGAGAAAUUCCCAAAUUGGCCUGAAGUCAAAACGAAGAAGAAAGUACGAAUUCAGAAUACCAUUUUUGAAUUUAGCAUCAAAAGGGCCAAUCCCAACUGAGUACAUGAAAAGGAGUUUGAAGAUACACCUGUUUUGAUGCAGAAGCAAAUCCCAAACCCUAACUGCAGAACAUAAAUAGAGAACUCUGUGCCAUUCCUCGCUGCUCAAUCCGAGGUGACCCAGGACUGGGGAACCGUUGCUUUAGGAUGUCACUGUUGAGGGGAGUUCAGCCAGAGGUCUUUUAUCUCGUAAUAUGCCUCAAAACCUUCAGUGGCGUAAACAGAUUAUCUCACUGAAGGCCUGAAGCUGCAAACUUCUGUUCUCAGAACCUACUGAUGAGGCCGGAGUUUGAUUCUACAGAUACGGUUGUUGCCAGUGGUGCAGUCGUGUGGUGACUUUGGUUCAGCCAAAAGUUUAUGGACGUUUUCUGGCGACGUGCCGGAGUUCUGUCCGGCUGUUUAUCAGCGGCGUUUCCGUUUUUAUUCGACCCUGGGCUGAAUUGUGGUGGCCACUCAGAGGGUGACCAGUUCCAGACAUGGGUUCAGAUGCAGUUGAUCAAGAUUGACUUUGGGUUCCAGAUGGUUGUGACUCAGAGUUCAACCCGAAGCUUCGGAUCCCUGUGCCCGAGAUGCACAGCCUGCCAGUCUUUGCUCCAUCAUUUGCAUCAUAGCGAUGUUUUUCCAAAAAAAUAAUAAUCGAUGAAAAAAGUAACUCGCAUGUGGCAUAUCCUUUUCAGAUCAUUCAUGAUAAAUACAGCAUCCGCAUCAUAUGCAUAUCAUCGCACAUAUCAUCCUGCAUGCAGACAUGCUUGGGAGAGACUUCGCACUCUGGUUUUGACUGAGACGGAUGUGACUCAUCUCGUCCGCAUCGCACCAGAAUGAAUCACAGAGGAGUAUGAUCAACGUCCAAGAGGUAGUUGGCUGAGAUGAGGGCAAACAUGCCAUUCACUGACCUGAUGCAAGGAGUUGUUCAGGGGCAAGAGAGACGCGUGCCUAGCCAAAGACAGGACAGGCUGGUCAUGAGCAUGAAUGCAAGGGUUGUUCAAGGGCAAGAGGAUCUGCGUGCUUAGCCCAGAGACAGGAAAGCUGUGAUUCUGCAGCCGCAGUCGGCUUCACCAGAGGGGCUGUCCUUGUCAAUGAUCAAAUUACUGCUGCACUAUUCCUGUCAACAACUAUGCCUGUGGUGAAAGAUUGAGGAUAUAUAAAUCAGUGGACAGCCCUUGCUACGAGAGACUGUUAAUGGUCAGAGCAACCCUCUCCGGUUCGCGAUCCCUGGCUCUUCAAAUCCUCAAGUUCUAAAAAGCCAUCCCUGGCACCCGAAGGGAAGAGGUGAAACAAACGCUCGUGCACGCGUCGGAGGAGUGUGAACAAAGGAGACAGAUAUCGGCAAGUGCUCUGCUGUGACUAUCCAAGCCACUCAACACUCAACAACAAACAGAGAAGACCAACUCAGCAAUAAGCAUCAACAACAUCGUCCUCACAGCAGGCUUACCGGCCUCCCAAAUGGUAAUCAGCCCAGACGAGGUAAUGAGAGGAAGAAGAUCAUUUUUGAUCUGAUCCUAUGUCCUAUGCAGAGCUGUAUCCCUCUUGAUAAGAGCGGAACUGAUACUCCCAGAGACCCGCGCGGCUAUACCCGUGCAACCCUGGUGGUGGUAUAGCCUGAACAGCAUUGGUUAUCAUUCGGAGUGCUCCUGGCAUGAUGUGCAUAGUUGUUUCCAGCUGAAGAUGAAGUUCAAGACCAUGUGAGUCAGGGAUUCUGAGCUUUGAAGACUUAGGUCCCGGUGUUAAUCAAGCUGAAAACGGCAAGUCCCGGGUUGGCGAUGGUUGUUCGUUUGACGUCUCAACGAAAAGUUUGUUCAAACGCAGAAGUUGCUGAUGCAAAAGGAUACCGGCAGUUGUUAUCCCUGGUGGAUCUAUCACAAUGGGUCACUGUGGGUGUGCCUACAGUUGUUCAGAAGUCAGAGUAAUAUCACCACUUUUUUAAAAAAAAACCCUCCUCAUGCCAAAAGGAGAAAGGAACAUUGUUGGCAAUUCAUUUGUGCAAUGAUAUAUUCAUUCAAUAAAGCACUGUUAACAUCAUUUGUUUUCCAAUGUGUUUCCUUUUCGCUUUUACAUGAAAAUUGGUGGAUCAACAAAAAACCACAAAACAGGAAUAAAAACAAUUCUUUCAUCUGACAUAACGAUUGUCUUGUUUGAUUUCCCAAAAAGCUUUCCAAUAUCAAAAUCAUUAUGCAGGCUUAUUUCUUAAACCCAUUGAAGCCACUGAUUGAAUCGUCCAUUUCCCCGUCCCAAUCGUGAAUCCCUGAAUUUCGAAAUGCGGAAGAAGAUGAUCUGAAGAUUCCUUGACGAGAUUUCCUAUCUGACAAGAAAAGAAGAUCACUACAGCGUAUCUCGAGAAACAGAACAGCCAAUGGCAUGAAAAGAAAAAGAAAAAAAGAAAUCACAAAGAAAGAAUAGGUGCAAAAUCAAAAGAAAUUCAGAAUCAAAAGAAAGUAAGAAAAAAAAAAAGCACCCUCAUAAGCCCAAUUGACUUGAUCGAAUUCGAUCGAGAAAGAGAAUGAACUGCCAUGUCAUGGUCGAGUUUGCGCGGAGAGUGACGAAUGCACGCUAUAUGAAGAAGCGGUGUCGAACCCGUGCCUGCGCUUGUGUCCGGGGGACCUGGUCAAGAUCUUGUCUUCGCCCGUAUUCCCAGGGGGCAUAGCGAGACGUGUUAUACCCUAAGCUAGAAGGUAUAUGCAUGCUUCUACGGAAUUUAGAACCAUUUACGUCAUUGGCGAGCUUUGUGCUUCACUUACAUGCCCAUGAUAACGAUGAUUGUUGAAUGACCACUUGGGCUUCCCACUCCAAAGAGUCUUUGGUCGAAUGAACUAAUAUGUUCCAUUGCUCAAGAGCUUCAGCGUGUGACAUUAAAUGGAUAGAAGUUACUCGCUAUCCAUGCAAAGAAAUAUUAAGUCAAAAGCAAAGCUCGCUAAGUCUGAACACCCCAAAGGGCGACUUAGGCAAAAGACGUCUCGGUGGAUUGAAAACCCGAAAGGGCGAUCCAGCAAGUAGAGACAUUAAAAAAAGAAUUCCAAUCACGCGUCAUAGAUGAGCACACUCACACGGGGCCAAUCUCCGCAAACAUUGGAUUUGGACAAGAAUGCAUCUUUGACAAGACUGCGUCUGAUAUCUGUGCUCCGUCAGGCCUCGAUGCCGUGACGUAUCACGCUACCUGAAUUACAUCUGAACAAGUUGCGAAUGGUAGACGAAAGUCUAUUAUCGUUCAAUUAGCCCCUCCAUAUAUACCACCGAUUUCAAACUUGUACAGAUAUGGAGGUCCUCCUUGCAGACUACCCUUCCAUUAGCAUCUAUUGAGCUUUUCCAUUCAUUAUUUGUCAACUCCCAUCCUCUUUCCAGCUCAUACAAAUGUUCUUGCACGUUUUAACUGAUAAAGACAUUGUUUCAAAAUAACAAUUUUCAAAAAAAAGUUCCUAAACAAAGUGAACAUUCACAGAUAUGAAAGAUACUGUAGGAGACCAUACCGAGUGCCUCGUCCGGAAGCGUGGUAUGAAUUCCGAAACGGUAAUAACAAUGUUCGUACCUAGAGCAUGAUUGCAUCUUAUUUCCUGGCAGAACAUUUCCAUGGCUGUUCUUCUUCCAGCGAGGAUUGCCAUGCAUGUUGCUUUGAGUUGUUAUACUUCAUGUUACCGGAGUAACAAACAUCCUUGCCUCAAGUCCGUUAGCCGCACUGUGGGAUCUUACGAGAGGUUUUGAGCCCUCCGUGGCAUUCCCAGCAAGUGGCUGUUGGAACACUGUUAAUGGCAGUCCCAAGCAGUAUAUUGAAGACUUCAACUUCCUCUCUCCAGUAGAGCAGCUUAUACUCUCCCCGGCAUGGUGCUGUCUUGGGAAGACUCGUAUUUCGUGGAUUGGACAAUCCAGUAACUCCAUCAUGUUCCUCAGAUAGAUCCCCACGAGAGUUGUUGUGAUGAUGAGCUUUACCAUGGCCUAUCUAAAUCCUCAAUCAGAGAUCUGGUUGCUUAUGCAUCCUCUGCUCUCCAGCACGAGUGGUCAUGGCGCGUCCGCCGUGUAGCUGAACCGUGUUCUCCGGUUGUGACGACGAUCCCUCCGGAAAGCCUCGGUGCCUUCCUCCCCUGCAGGAGGUGUUGCUCCCUGAUAAUCCCAGCCCCAGUGGAUUUUCUCGGCUCUCGGGUAACUUUGGUUUUCCCUCCGGAAGAGUGGUACCGGAUGGUUGAUUCUCGACCUGUGUGUUGAGCACUUCUGUUUGCCACAUCAUUACAUACAUUUUUAGGUAUCAUGCAUACAUGCAUAAUCAUAGCAUUCAGAUACCAUGAUGCAGCGUGUGCCGUGUAUCUGUUGAUGGUUGUCUCCUGCUAUUUGUUGAUACAGAUCUCUCAGUAGAUCCCCCUAACAGAUUUAGAUCAGUGUCUCCUCAGCGAGCCUGAAGGUUACUGCCUCCCAGUAGGGUUUGUGUUGAUGGUUUCCCUCAGUGAGAUCCCUAAGCGGAUCGGGUUUGGAGAAAAUCACCCCAGUAGAGAUAAGAAUGGGUUGCCUCCCCUAGCAGGGUAAUCUCCAAGCAGUUCGGGUUCGAUGGAGUGCAUCCUCAGCAAGGUUUGUCUUUCCCCAGCAGGGUGGAAGUUGACGUGAUUAUAAGAUCCUCAGCACAGUUCCUGGAGUCCCGGUGUUGUCUCUGGAGGAGACGUGUGUUAUGCAUUCAUAUUUAGUAAGCAUAGCAUAUUGCAUCAUUAGUGCAUAGCAUUUCCAUGAUCAUGGGGCAUUGUGUAAAAAAAAAAAACUCAUGCAUCACAUUGCAAACAUAUCCAUUAGCCCAGGCCGUGGUGACCAGCCAGAUUGGGUUGUUGGAAAGAGUUUAGCAUCGCGCCAUUGGAUCGGUUUCAGAAUUGGUUCAUCAGCAUGGUUGAGAGGUUAGUGUUUUCCCAACAAGUGACUCCUUAGUUGAGUGGGUAUCCCAGCAGUGUUACUCCCGAAGUUGGCAGCAUCUUGCAAGCUUGGGUCAAUUCCCCUAGCAUUAUGUGGGCGUGUCUGAUCUCUUCAUAUAGAGUCGACCCUUAAGCAGAAAAUGUCCACCAUUUCCUUCUGCGCUCCCACCGAGAUACUUCCUCGUGGAUGACGUUUCUCGUUCCCCCCUAAUGGGAUGGGUUUUCCCUAUGAGUUCUUUCCUCAUUAGGAUAGAUCCUUGAUUCAUUGCCUUUUGGAUCGAUCCUAAAUUGGCUUCUUGUUCGCUAUCUCUUGUACUUCUCUGGGCAUAAAUGAAUGGUUGCUCACUAACCGGCACUCGUUCAUCUCAUCCUCAGCGGAAUUUUUGUCUUCUACCAACGAACCGGUAGUUGUAAGUCCUAUCUUUGGGUUUUCUACCUACAGCUGGUAUGUGUAAAAUCCCACUUUCACCCCUAGCAGAGGUAGCCUUUGUGUUCAUGCUGUUUGUGGCUUCUACCAACGAACUGGUAGUUUAAGUCCUAUCUUUGUGGUUUCUACCUACAAGCUGGUAGUUGUAAAAUCCCACUCACCCCCCUAGCAGAGGUAGCCUUUGUGGUUCAUGCUGUUUGUGGCUUCUACCAACGAACUGGUAGUUGUAAGUCCUAUCUUUGUGGUUUUCUACCUACAAGCUGGUAGUUGUAAAAUCCCACUUUCACCCCCUAGC
rnacentral:lncRNA from 1 species